rnacentral:rRNA from 1 species
UACGGAGGGUGCAAGCGUUGUUCGGAAUUACUGGGCGUAAAGCGCGUGUAGGCGGUUUGGUAAGUCGGUUGUGAAAGCCCCGAGCUCAACUCGGGAACUGCGUCCGAAACUGCCGGACUGGAGUCCCGGAGAGGAAGGCAGAAUUCCCAAUGUAGGGGUGAAAUCCGUAGAUAUUGGGAGGAAUACCGGCUGCGAAGGCGGCCUUCUGGGCGGUGACUGACGCUGAGACGCGAAAGCGUGGGGAGCAAACAGG